CGAAGCUAGUGCCGUCGGCGUGAAGCGCGUAUCUCUUAUGUAUGCAUAGUGGAUUAUUUUAAUCAAAAGCUAUUUCAACUUGGGGAGGGGGCGUUUCAAGCAUUCUGUAAUGGAAAAAUAUAACCCUCAAAGCACCCCCGAGCGGCGUGUUUGAGUGGAUGCAGUACCUGCCCAGCCCGGCGCUGUUCCUCCUACCUGUAGGCACACCUGUGCUCUAAGCGCAGGUGCGUCGUAGACUGACCACGCCCCUUCCAAGGUGACACGCCCCGGUGGCCACGCCCCGCACAGGUAGAUCGGAAAGAUGGCGGCCGGGGUAGCACGAUGCAUCUCAUCCUGGCUGCCCCGGCGGGCUGGUGUUUGUCACGAACUCGUUGUUGUGUUCUUUCAGGAAAACGACUGACUGCAGAUUGAAGGGCUUUGCAGAUUUCACCCGGGAAUGCCGUUGUGUGAUCCUCUUGCACUGUCCUUGUGAUUUCAUGUAUUAAAGGUUUCCUUGUGUACUGGUGCCUUG